GAUGAACGCUGGCGGCGUGCUUAACACAUGCAAGUCGAACGAUGAAGCCCAGCUUGCUGGGUGGAUUAGUGGCGAACGGGUGAGUAACACGUGAGUAACCUGCCCUUGACUCUGGGAUAAGCCCGGGAAACUGGGUCUAAUACCGGAUAGGAGCGCCUGUCGCAUGACGGGUGUUGGAAAGAUUUUUCGGUCAUGGAUGGACUCGCGGCCUAUCAGCUUGUUGGUGAGGUAAUGGCUCACCAAGGCGACGACGGGUAGCCGGCCUGAGAGGGUGACCGGCCACACUGGGACUGAGACACGGCCCAGACUCCGACGGGAGGCAGCAGUGGGGAAUAUUGCACAAUGGGCGGAAGACUGAUGCAGCGACGCAGCGUGAGGGAUGACGGCCUUCGGGUUGUAAACCUCUUUCAGUAGGGAAGAAGCGAAAGUGACGGUACCUGCAGAAGAAGCACCGGCUAACUACGUG
rnacentral:rRNA from 1 species